CAGCCGCCGCGGGAAAACGUAGGUGGCAAGCGUUGUCCGGAAUUAUUGGGCGUAAAGGGCUCGCAGGCGGUUUCUUAAGUCUGAUGUGAAAGCCCCCGGCUCAACCGGGGAGGGUCAUUGGAAACUGGGAAACUUGAGUGCAGAAGAGGAGAGUGGAAUUCCACGUGUAGCGGUGAAAUGCGUAGAGAUGUGGAGGAACACCAGUGGCGAAGGCGACUCUCUGGACCAUAACUGACGCUGAUGCACGAAGGCUAGGGGAGCGAACAGGAUUAGAUACCCCUGUAGUCCCUGUCUCUUAUAC
rnacentral:rRNA from 1 species